UACGGAGGGUCCAAGCGUUAUCCGGAAUCAUUGGGUUUAAAGGGUCCGUAGGCGGGCUAUUAAGUCAGAGGUGAAAGUUUGCAGCUCAACUGUAAAAUUGCCUUUGAUACUGGUAGUCUUGAGUUAUAGUGAAGUGGUUAGAAUAUGUGGUGUAGCGGUGAAAUGCAUAGAUAUCACAUAGAAUACCAAUUGCGAAGGCAGAUCACUAACUAUAUACUGACGCUGAUGGACGAAAGCGUGGGGAGCGAACGGG
rnacentral:rRNA from 1 species